UACUGCGUUUUUUUUUAUCUUCUCUUUUCUCAUUGAAGGAAACAAAAUUAAGAAACCCAUGCCUCGUAUCAUGUAGAUUCACCAUGGAUGAAUCUCUUCUCUCAAAGACAGGAGUAGAAGAAGACUCUAUUCGGCCAUCACCAAGGAGAGAAUUUCCUUCCAGCUACCUUGAUCUUGGCCUUGGUCCCUCCCGACGCCAAUCGGCGGCUCAUCUCAUCACCAGCGAUGCCAUUAUUCCCAUCAUCACAACCCCCAAGUCCGGUUCCUUUGUAAACCUCAUAGCCAACUUGAACUUGAACAAUAAGAGAAGACUAGAACGGCGCUCCCACUCCGCUCCGUCGGUGUUCACCGACAUCCGUGAAGAUUCCCAUGCUUCCUUCGAGCCCAAACCCACCAAAAGAUCAACCCCUUUCAUCGUCCGGCAAGCCUUUAUCGGCGUAGUUCUGUACGUCAUACUCGUAGUUACAAUAUUUAUGAUAAGUGGGAAUUUCAAGGGUCAUACCACAUUCAGGCCAGUGGAUGCAUUGUACUUCACCGUGGUCACACUCUGCACAAUUGGGUAUGGAGAUAUUGUUCCAGACUCCACAUUUACAAAGCUGUUUACUUGCGUUUUCAUUUUAGUUGGUUUUGGAUUCGUUGACAUUCUACUCAAUGGGUUGGUAACAUACAUUUGUGACAGACAAGAGGCAGUGUUAUUGAGCACAGUGGAUGAGAAUAAGUUCAACUCCAUGGUUAAAGCAUACAUGGUGGAUACAGAGAAAGGGAGAAUGAGAAUAAGGAUUAAAGUAGGUUUGGCUUUGGCGGUUGUGAUUGGGUGUAUUGCUAUAGGGACAAUUACGGUACACUUCAUCGAGGAUAUGAGUUGGGUUGACAGCUUUUAUCUCUCAGUCACGUCCGUGACAACAGUAGGUUAUGGGGAUUUCGCUUUUACUACGAUUACAGGGAGGUGUUUCGCAGUAAUUUGGCUGUUAGUUAGCACAUUAGCCGUUGCCAGGGCGUUUCUGUACCUGACUGAGCUUAGGAUUGACAAGAGGAAUCGCAGAAUUGCAAAAUGGGUACUGCAGAAGAAGAUUACAGUUGGGGAUUUGGUAGCUGCAGACCUCGAUAAUGACGGCUCUAUCAGUAAAGCUGAAUUCGUUAUUUACAAGCUUAAGGAGAUGGGAAAGAUAUCAGAGAAAGACAUCCUGCAGAUUGGCAAACAAUUUGAUUUGCUGGACAGUAGCAAUUGUGGCAAAAUUACUCUGGCUGAUCUCAUGGAAAGCGAGUGACUAAAGCAUGCAUGGAUUUCCAAAUGGAUAUAUAUAUAAAGGAUCACGGCAUUGGGAUUUUUUUUGUCAGCAAUACAUAGAGCACACUAGGACCUCUUAUUCUUGUACAUAAUCAUUCCUCAUCAAAUAUAUGCAGAAUGAGGCAGAUGAUGAUCCCAUCAUCCUGAAAUGAGGCAAUGAGAGAGAACAAUUUCCAGCAUAUUUACUGGAAUACACAUUAGCAUAGCAAAAGUUGCAGGUUUUUGGUAUAUCUGCCAGGAACCAAGUAAUCACCAAAAGGAACAAAAACUCAAAACAAAACAAAAGCCAUAGAUUUGCAUGCAAAUUUGUGGAAGUGAAGGAACCAAUGGACAGCUUUGAGGAAGAGUCUGGAACUGAAGUAUUGAAAGUACAAGGCAGAAGUGAAUACAUUCUGACCAUAGGGCUCGUGGGCUUCUUGUGUAUUUCCUUAUCUUGGUUGAUUAAGUGGACCGAAAUACGUUAAUGGGUUGUAGCCGAAAGUGUUAAGACUUCUUUAAAUUGUUGCUUUGUAAGGUUUCGUUAAUUGCUUGUUAUGGCCCAGGCCCGUGUUGGGGAGGGCAUUAUAGUUAGUAUUUGCCAGCUAUAUGUACUAAGCAGUACUGCUGUGUAAGAAUUAUCUAGAAAGUA